CCUCCCGGCGUGCCCCGCGGGGACCAGGUGGGACUUAAUAUUCCGUGGGACCUUUACCUGGGAGGAUGUCUUCCUAGGCACUGCUUUCCUUAUUCCCGGCGCUCUGCAGCCUGGACUGAGGGUUGACGGCUAGGGUCCCAGGACGAUGGCGGGCAGGCGGGCGAGGUGGGGAUCAUAAAGCUGACCUCUCAGCUCUUCUAAGUCCAGGGUAGCGUCCAAAAAAGUUAGGGAAAAACAAAAAACAAAAAAAACACCCAGGAGACUCAGGAAACUCCUAAUUCUCGGGUGUGGAGUUACCAUAUUGAUAAGAUGCAAUUCAAGAUGGACGGAACAGGUCAUAAAGACUUUACAGAGGGAAGUGACCAGUACCGCGACAGCUCAGAGCCGUGGCCAAUAGAGAUAAGUCAGCCUGUGGAUGAACCUAUGGUCUUCUUCAGUAGACCGGUGAGAUAAGAGAAGAUACAACAUAUUAUGGAUACAUAAGAUCAUGUACUGUUCUUGCAGAGGAUCUGAGAUAAGUGUAGCUACUAUCCCUCAUCAAAGAAGCCUUUCUUUACAACAAAUGGAGACCAUCAGAGAAAACAACUGUACCCAAUGCAGAGAUCAACCAAUUGUGGGGAGCCCCAGUGUAUACAUCCACAUCACAGUUGGCGUGGCUCAGGGAACGCCACAGAAAAGUGGGACAGAAGGACGCUGAGAGCCAGAAUACCAGGAAGUCUUCUGCAAAACAACCUCUCCUACAAAUGGCUGCAUAAACAAGACUGGAACAAUAACAUUAUCAGUGGACAUACGAACAUGGAAGGGGGAGAAUUUUGUGGGGUCUCAGCUCUAGACAAAGAACUACAGCUUUUAGACCUUAAAAAAGUCUCUGUGCAGUUAAUUAGUUGUUAAUGUAGAAACUCACAGCUGGUCCAAGUGCAGAGUAAGUGUCUGAAGAAUGUUCAGCCACAAAUAUGACAUCUAUAUUAUGCCCCUCACCAAGGUUCAGGAACCAUCAUGGAAGAGGGAGCAUAAAGAUGGUAAGAACCAGAGGCUGGGAAGUACCAGAGUGAAACAGUGCAUUCUGGACUCGCCAGGACUAUUACACUCAUAAAUCCACAGCAGUGCAUUUUACUGUGUAGUUGCCUGAA